rnacentral:tRNA from 1 species
AGGGGUAUAGCUCAGUCGGUAGAGCAUCGGUCUCCAAAACCGAGGGUCGCAGGUUCGAGUCCUGCUGCCCCUGCCA